AUUCCAGCUCCAAUAGCGUAUAUUUUAGUUGUUGCAGUUAAAAAGCUCGUAGUUGAAUUUCUGGUGGGAAGAUGCGGACGGCCUCAUGGCUUGUUCCAAGUCUUCCGGCCAUCCUUGGGUGGAGCUCGUCUGGCAUUAAGUUGUCGGGCGGGGGAUGCCCAUCGUUUACUGUGAAAAAAUUAAAGUGUUCAAAGCAGACUUAUGUCGUUGAAUAUAUUAGCAUGGAAUAAUAAGAUAGGACAGCAGUGCUAUUUUGUUGGUUUGCGCACCGUUGUAAUGAUGAAUAGGGACAGUUGUGGGUAUUUAUACUCACUUGUAAGAGGUGAAAUUCUUAGAUUAAGGGAAGAUAAACUACUGCGAAAGCAUUUACCAAGGAUGUUUUCAUUG
rnacentral:rRNA from 1 species